rnacentral:misc_RNA from 1 species
GGUUGUGUUUGAAGAAUGGGGUGGUGAUCCAAGUGGAAUUUCUUUGGUCAAAAGGACUACAGGGAGUGUUUGUGCUGAUGUAUUUGAAGGACAGCCAGCAUUGAAGAACUGGCAGAUGAUUGCACAGGGCAAACUUGACCAUCUCCAACCCAAAGCCCAUUUGUGGUGUCCUCCAGGGCAGAAGAUCACUCAGAUCAAGUUUGCUAGCUAUGGAAUGCCUCAGGGGACUUGCGGAAGCUUCCGAAAGGGAAGCUGUCAUGCCCAGAAGUCAUAUGAUGCUUUUGAAAAGGUAUUCAAACAGCUAAGAAUUUGUUUAAGGCUUAGUUGAGAUGAUUAUAAUGCUACUGACUACUGAAACUAAGUUUAUAAGUUUGCAAAACUCUAGUUUCUGAUUCUUGUUAUGUUUGAAUUCUGUAGUUAUUCUAUAGUUUUAUGAACUGACCUUGAUAAGCCUAUUGCAGAAGUGUGUUGGAAAGCAGUCUU